UACGGGGGGGGGCAAGCGUUGUUCGGAAUUACUGGGCGUAAAGGGCGCGUAGGCGGCCAUCUAAGUCAGACGUGAAAUCCCUCGGCUCAACCGAGGAACUGCGUCUGAUACUGGAAGGCUUGAAUCCGGGAGAGGGAUGUGGAAUUCCAGGUGUAGCGGUGAAAUGCGUAGAUAUCUGGAGGAACACCGGUGGCGAAGGCGGGUCUCUGGGCAGUAACUGACGCUGAGGAGCGAAAGCGUGGGGGAGCGAACAGG
rnacentral:rRNA from 1 species